GACGAACGCUUGCGGCGUGCCUAAGAAAUGCAAGUCGAACGGACAGUAGCAAUACUGUUAGUGGCGAACGGUCGCGUAACACGUAGGCAACCUGCCUCGAAGUGGGGGACAACAGCCUGAAAGGGCUGCUAAUACCGCAUGUGGACAACGGGAGGCAUCUUCUGUUGUCCAAAGCCUUGUGCGCUUCGAGAUGGGCUUGCGGCCUAUCAGGUAGUUGGUGGGGUAAUGGCCUACCAAGCCGACGACGGGUAGCUGGUCUGAGAGGACGAUCAGCCGGAUUGGGACUGAGAUACGGCCCAGACUCCUACGGGGGCAGCAAUUAGGAAUCUUGCGCAAUGGGGAAACCCUGACGCAGCGACGCCGCGUGUGGGAUGACGGCCUGG
rnacentral:rRNA from 1 species